CUAACCGCGUACAAAAUGGCGCAAUAUGUCAGGAAUUUGUCAUGUAUCAAGUUAUAUUUUCUUUUGUAUAAUAAUUACAUUCGUUUAGUUAAGCAACUUGUUUAUAGUGAUAAUUGUAGAAAAGUGUAGAAAAAUGACACCUGCAUUAUAUCCUGGGGUGAAGAAACGUUAUUUUAUGUCGAUUUCUUUAGAUGACAAAGGAGGUAACCAAAUAGCAUAUAUUACAAAAUCUGAGGACAAUAAUAAGGAUCGUUUAGCAAGGUUAAAAUAAUUAUUUUACCACAUUAGGACAUUAACAUAUCCAUGUGUUUGACAUAACCUCACUUCUUAAAUCUCUUAAAUUAGUCGGUGGAGAAGUGGCUCGAGGAUGAUUGUCUGAAUAUAAGUCGUACAAAAUUGGAAUGAAACGGUGAACAAUAUACAGAUCUUUAGACAGGCUUAAAUAAUGUAUGUGUAGGAGCAACUUCAAGAUGAUGGAGAUUUAUCUUCUUAAUAUAAAACCUCUAAAAUUGGGAACAGUAUGUCAUAUAUGCAUGAACUUGAUGUACCCUAGCAAUUGAUGUAUAAUGAACUGGAGAUAGAAUGAAUUCAAUCAGGUUAAAAAAAAUGUAUGUGCAAAAGCGACUCGAAGACGAUUUAGAUUUGUCUCCUGAAUAUAAAACUUCCAAGAAGUACAUCAUAUAUGAAUAUCCU